rnacentral:rRNA from 1 species
UACGUAGGGUGCAAGCGUUGUCCGGAAUUAUUGGGCGUAAAGAGCUCGUAGGCGGUUUGUCGCGUCUGCUGUGAAAACCUAAGGCUCAACCUUGGGCUUGCAGUGGGUACGGGCAGACUAGAGUGCGGUAGGGGAGACUGGAAUUCCUGGUGUAGCGGUGAAAUGCGCAGAUAUCAGGAGGAACACCGGUGGCGAAGGCGGGUCUCUGGGCCGUAACUGACGCUGAGGAGCGAAAGCGUGGGGAGCGAACAGG